AACGCACCUUGCGCCUUUUGGUAUUCCGAAAGGCACACCUGUUUGAGUGUCAUGAACCUCUCAGCCCUAUCAUUUCUUGUAAACGGUAGUGGUCUGGAUCUUGAGCGUUGCCGUUAUAACAAUGACGGCUCGUUCGAAAUGUAUAAGCCAUCUCCUUAUAAAUCGGAUUGACUCGGCGUGAUAAUUAUUCGUCGAGGACGCUUUAACCAGCGGCCGAAAUGUACUAGAGUAGCUUCUAAACCGCCUUUGCGCAUUUUAAUUUAGACCUCAAAUCAGGUGGGACUACCCGCUGAACUUAA
rnacentral:misc_RNA from 2 species